AGCUCCAAUAGCGUAUCUUAAAGUUGCUGCAGUUAAAAAGCUCGUAGUUGGAUCUCGGGAUCGAGCUGACGGUCCGCCGCGAGGCGAGCUACCGUCUGUCCCAGCCCCUGCCUCUCGGCGCCCCCUCGAUGCUCUUAGCUGAGUGUCCCGCGGGGUCCGAAGCGUUUACUUUGAAAAAAUUAGAGUGUUCAAAGCAGGCCCGGUCGCCUGAAUACCGCAGCUAGGAAUAAUGGAAUAGGACUCCGGUUCUAUUUUGUGGGUUUUCUUCUCUGAACUGGGGCCAUGAUUAAGAGGGACGGCCGGGGGCAUUCGUAUUGUGCCGCUAGAGGUGAAAUUCUUAGAUCCUUGGAAGACAAACAGCUGCGAAAGCGAAAGCAUUUGCCAAGAAUGUUUUCA
rnacentral:rRNA from 1 species